rnacentral:rRNA from 1 species
UAGGGAAUCUUCCGCAAUGGACGAAAGUCUGACGGAGCAACGCCGCGUGAGUGAAGAAGGAUUUUGGUUCGUAAAACUCUGUUGUUAGGGAAGAAAAAAUGUAUAGUAACUAUAUACAAAAGAGACGGUACCUAACCAGAAAGCCACGGCUAACUACGUGCCAGCAGCCGCGGUAAUACGUAGGUGGCAAGCGUUGUCCGGAAUUAUUGGGCGUAAAGCGCGCGCAGGUGGUUUAGAAAGUCUGAUGUGAAAGCCCACGGCUCAACCGUGGAAGGUCAUUGGAAACUAAUAAACUUGAGUGCAGGAGAGAAAAGUGGAAUUCCUAGUGUAGCGGUGAAAUGCGUAGAGAUUAGGAGGAACACCGGUGGCGAAAGCGGCUUUUUGGCCUGCAACUGACACUGAGGCGCGAAAGCGUGGGGAGCAAACGGG